CGACAUGGGAAAGUGAUCGACCCUUGGGAUAAGUUUAAAUUUGUUUUUUCUUACUCCAUAAACUUUUUACCGUGGGUAAAAAGAUUCUUGUUGGGGUAUAAAAAAAAUCAAAUUUAAAUUUAGCCCAAGGGUUGGUGAUGUAUUUUCCCCAAGAAG
rnacentral:pre_miRNA from 1 species